UUGUUGAAUUGAAGCUUUCAAGUGUUCAAGUUCAACGAUUUUCAAUUUUCAAGAAGUUGUUCGUCAACCCGGUAAACUUGUUUCAACUCUUACGUGCUAAUAGUAAUUUUUUAGGUUUUUAGUUUGCUUAAUUCUAAUUAUUAUGGCAUUUUCGUUGAAAAAAAUGUUCGGUAAAGGAAAAGCUAAAACCGGUGAAAGUAGUGG
rnacentral:lncRNA from 1 species